CACCUCCUUGCCUUCAAUUGAUUGGAAUAUCUUUUGAUUUAUUGGUUAAUUUAGAUAGUAUCAAUAUUUCAAAACAUUGCUUGCUCUAAAGCAUUAAAAUAGUCAACAUUUCUAGAAUAUUACCUUAUUAAUUCUCAAGGAUUUUAUGUUUCUGGUUUGUUGUUGUAACUGAGGGAAUGCUGUCUCUCUUACUUGAUAUUUUCAUUUUCUAUUGUGAGCUUGGAAAAGUAUCGAUUUUUACAUGUUACCUUAAAAACCACUACUUUACACGCCUGUAAUCCCAGCACUUUGGGAAGCCGAGGCAGGCGGAUCACGAGGUCAGGAGAUGGAAACCAUCCUGGCUAACACAGUGAAACCCUGUCUCUACUAAAAAUACAAAAAAAUUAGCUGGGCGUGGUGGUGGGUUCCUGUAGUCCCAGCUACUCGGGAGGCUGAGGCAGGAGAAUGGUGUGAACCCAGGAGGCAGAGCUUGCAGAGAGCUGAGAGAUCGCGCCACUGCACUCCAGCCUGGGCAACAGAGCGAGACUCCGUCUCAAAAAAAAAAAAAAAAAAAAAACCACUACUUUACUAAUACUUUUCUAACAGUUUUUCAGCUGAGAAACUUUCCUUAAUGAAUAAUGCAAAAUUGAGUCGCAUUUGUAGUUUAAAUUAAAUGAUCAAAAUGUAGAAUCUGAAAUGAGGAUUUCCAGUAACUGAGGAUAUGCACAUUUAUAUAAAUCUGAUUAGCUUUAACAGCUUUAUAGAUUUUAACCUUGUCCAACAAGAACAAUAUAAAUAUAAAGGCUUGGGGUCUAAUCCCAGCUCCUGACUAAAAUGCUCUAAUGAUAAAUACCUUUCUCCCUUCUCUUUAUUGUGAGUUUUCACAUUUGUGCAGCAAAAAGAGUGAUACUUCUCCUUUUCUUCCUGCUUUGAGGUAAAAUAAGGAUAAAUGAGACAAUUCGGUGAGGUGCUGUUAAUAGCUUCCCAACAGGUACCACAUAGCAUCUACCAAACACACCUGCCAUACUCACUAACAAGAAUACUACUUGCAGAGUUUUCAUGUUGGUAAUAGUGGAGUACCUUAUAUCAGCUGAGCUUCCUUUCAACGACAACUAUAAAUGCUGAAAUAGUUUUUGAAAAUGAUUUGAAGGCACUGGAGGGUGACUAAAAUCAGGUCAAAACUGAACUGUGCAAUGGCACACACCUGUAAUCCCAGCUGCUUGGGAGGCUGAAGGAGAAGGAUGGCUUGAGCCCAGGAGUUGGGAAGAGAAGAAAUUCCAAAAUGUCUAAAAUAGGCUCAAAUAGUACACUGUGAUCACACCUGUGAAUAGCUACUGUGCUCUGACCUGCCCAACUUAGCAAGAUCUCAUCUUUAAACAGAAAAGAUUUUUUAUUAAUUUUUAGACUUUUUUAAAAAAAGCAGGAAGAGACUGGGUAAAAGCUUCACUUAUGUGGCUUUUCCUCUAAGAGCACUCUCUGGCCUAUGCAAUAUGGGGUGGCUAGAACUCAGGAAGAAAGCCACAGUCUUAUUGAAUUAUUGGGGGAUCAGAGGAUAAAAUAUGGGGUUGCUUUUUUUGUUUUUUGGUUUUGGUUUUUUAAGAUGGGAUCUUGCUCUGUCACCCAGGCUGGAGUGCUGUGGUGCAAUUAUAACUCACUGUAAAAUUGAGCUUCUGGGCUCAAAUGAUUCUCUCACCUCAGCCUCCCAAGUAGCUGGGACUACAAGUGCACACCACUAUGCCUGGUUAAUUUUUUAGAAUUGUUUUUCGUAGAGUUGAGGGUCUCCCCAUGUUGCCCAGACUAGUCUCAAACUCCUAGGCUCAAUUAAUCCUCCUGCCUCAGCCUCCCAAAAUGCCAGUAUUACAGGUGUUAGCCACAGCACCUGUCCUGAUCCAUCUUGUUAUUCUUUAACACAGUACCGUAUUCAUUUUGUUGCACUGAGGACAAUUUGAAAUUAUGUGUGUCAUACUUGUUUAUUUACCAUCUACCCCACUAGAAUAUAAAUUAAAUGAGGGCAGAGUCAUAUCUACUUUGUUCACUGUUUACCUAGCUUGGGAUCUAGCAUCUAGCAGGUGCUCAACAAAUAUUUGAUGAAUUAAUGAAAAAAGGGAAAUGUCUUCAGAGUCCAUUUAGACUUUCUCUGGCUUCCCAUCUCAGUGGCUACUCAUUGAGUGGGUCCUGCCUUCAAUUAACUUCCUUCUUCUCUUCCUUUCUACACUAACCUCACUGAGGGGAGGAGCCUCAGGGAAGUUACAAGGGAAACUGGAACAAUUGCGUCUUU
rnacentral:lncRNA from 10 species